rnacentral:misc_RNA from 1 species
GAUGAAGAACGUAGCGAAAUGCGAUAAGUAAUGCGAAUUGCAGAAUUUCCGUGAGUCAUCGAAUCUUUGAACGCACAUUGCGCCCCUUGGUAUUCCAUGGGGCAUGCCUGUUCGAGCGUCAUUUGUACCUUCAAGCUCUGCUUGGUGUUGGGUGUUUGUCUCGCCUCUGCGUGUAGACUCGCCUCAAAACAAUUGGCAGCCGGCGUAUUGAUUUCGGAGCGCAGUACAUCUCGCGCUUUGCACUCAUAACGACGACGUCCAAAAGUACAUUUUUACACUCUUGACCUCGGAUCAGGUAGGGAUACCCGCUGAACUUAAGCAUAUCAAUAAGCGGAGGA